rnacentral:tRNA from 1 species
UGUAGCUCAGGGAUAGAGCCCUUGCCUAACAUGUAUGAGACCCUGGGUUCCAUCCCCAGCA